AGUAGAUAACAUGUAUAAUUGAGAAAUGUAUUUUAUUCUCAAACUUUAUUUUUUAUUUUCAUUAUACAGAUCCACGCAUCUAUUUGCAACAUGAACAUAAAUAUUGCUGUUCCCUUUGCUCAUACAAGCUACAGAACCACAUAGCACAAACUGCUAUGGUUCAACAUAACGAUGCCUCUGAAUGUUCUUGAAGCUGUUCUCCAGGAGGUGAUACCAGCACAGGGAGACUCAGCUUACCUCACCUUGGCAUUGACCUGCAAGUGCUUUGAAGCCGUUGUGUCUGACCCAGUUUUUAGGAAGAAGACUCACUUUGCUUGGCUGGAUGGUGAGAUCAACUGGGGAAAACUUUCAAAAACAUUCAAGGCAGAAAACCGGAUUCCUUUUGCGGUUGUAACGUGUUCUUCCUGCAACCGGUAAUAUAAAG